rnacentral:rRNA from 1 species
GGAAUUGACGGGGAGCACCACAACGGGUGGAGCUUGCGGUUUUAAUUGGAUUCAACGCCGGAAAUCUUACCGGGACCGACAGCAAUAUGAAGGCCAGGCUGAAGACUUUGCCGGAUUAGCUGAGAGGUGGUGCAUGGCCGUCGUCAGUUCGUACUGUGAAGCAUCCUGUUAAGUCAGGCAACGAGCGAGACCCACGCCCACAGUUGCCAGCGUACUCUCUGGAGUGACGGGUACACUGUGGGGACCGCCGCUGCUAAAGCGGAGGAAGGAAUGGGCAACGGUAGGUCAGUAUGCCCCGAAUAUCCCGGGCUACACGCGAGCUACAAUGGUUGGUACAAUGGGUAUCUACCCCGAAAGGGGACGGGAAUCUCCUAAAACCAAUCUUAGUUCGGAUUGAGGGCUGCAACUCGCCCUCAUGAAGCUGGAAUCCGUAGUAAUCGCGUUUCAACAGAACGCGGUGAAUACGUCCCUGCUCCUU